rnacentral:rRNA from 1 species
UACGGGGGGGGCAAGCGUUGUUCGGAAUUACUGGGCGUAAAGGGCUCGUAGGUGGCCAACUAAGUCAGACGUGAAAUCCCCCGGCUUAACCUGGGAACUGCGUCUGAUACUGGAUGGCUUGAGUUUGGGAGAGGGACGCGGAAUUCCAGGUGUAGCGGUGAAAUGCGUAGAUAUCUGGAGGAACACCGGUGGCGAAGGCGGCGUCCUGGACCAACACUGACACUGAGGAGCGAAAGCCAGGGGAGCAAACGGG